rnacentral:rRNA from 1 species
CCUACGGGUGGCUGCAGUGGGGAAUUUUCCGCAAUGGGCGAAAGCCUGACGGAGCAAUACCGCGUGAGGGAGGAAGAUUUUUGGAUUGUAAACCUCUUUUUUAAAGGAAGAAGAAAGUGACGGUACUUUAAGAAUCAGCAUCGGCUAACUCCGUGCCAGCAGCCGCGGUAAUACGGAGGAUGCAAGCGUUAUCCGGAAUCAUUGGGCGUAAAGCGUCCGCAGGUGGCUGUUCAAGUCUGCUGUUAAAGACAGAAGCUCAACUUCUGAGCAGCAGU